rnacentral:tRNA from 1 species
GGGGGUAUAGCUCAGUAGUAAAGUGAGUGCUUAGCAUGCAUGAAGUCCUGGGUUCUAUUCCCAGUAUCUCCA